rnacentral:other from 1 species
AAAUCCCUGCCUGGUACGUGGAUCGGGCCAAACACACUCUGACCCAUUACUAGAUAGAUAUGGGAGCUCGAAUCUGCUGGCGCCCAAAAGCCUCCUCGAGGGGACUUGGAAGACAGUUGCUAGAGCACCCCGCUUUGUUCUUCUGGAACAGAGUCAGGCACCGUCACGGCUGGGCGGGGUUUUC